rnacentral:rRNA from 1 species
UGGGGAAUUUUGGACAAUUGGGCGAAAGCCUGAUCCAGCAAUGCCGCGUGUGUGAAGAAGGCCUUCGGGUUGUAAAGCACUUUUGUCCGGAAAGAAAUCCUUGGCUCUAAUACAGUCGGGGGAUGACGGUACCGGAAGAAUAAGCACCGGCUAACUACGUGCCAGCAGCCGCGGUAAUACGUAGGGUGCAAGCGUUAAUCGGAAUUACUGGGCGUAAAGCGUGCGCAGGCGGUUUGCUAAGACCGAUGUGAAAUCCCCGGGCUCAACCUGGGAACUGCAUUGGUGACUGGCAGGCUAGAGUAUGGCAGAGGGGGGUAGAAUUCCACGUGUAGCAGUGAAAUGCGUAGAGAUGUGGAGGAAUACCGAUGGCGAAGGCAGCCCCCUGGGCAAGUACUGACGCUCAUGCACGAAAGCGUGGGGAGCAAACNGGAUUAAUNCCCUGGUAGUCCACGCCCUAAANGAUGUCAACUAGUUGUUGGGGAUUCAUUUCCUAGUAACGUAGCUAACGCGUGAGUUGACCGCCUGGGGAGUACGGUCGCAAGAUUAAAACUUCAAAUGAAUUGACGGGGGU